UAUCUAUACAUUAUAGUUAUUUAAUGUAUUCGUAUGAUUAUUCUUACAUCCAUAAAAUUUAUCUGCCUUAUAAAAAAAACAAAUAAUAACAUAAAUGAACAGAACAAACUUAAUUUUUCUGGCAAAGAAAAUGCAUUUUCAGUACAGUGACCUCAAACCAUUAAAAUUCUCAACUCUGUGAGAAUAUAUCUACAGCAGAAUCGAAGAAUUUCGACUAGCUACAAAAGCUAGCUAACAUGAAACUAAAAUUAAAAUUCUAUUCCUGUCCCAAGCGAAAUUAUUACGAAACGCACUAGAAUCAACCAGAGCUCUCUCGGACCGCGCAUACCGUGCCAAUUAUUCUCCGCACGGAAGUUCCACGGCUUGGCGUGAGAGAUUGAUGCGAGAGUCGAUGCACUCCACGCUUAUGUUUUAUUCAUACCUUUCACCAGGUUCGAUAAGAAAAUUAUAUUUAAAAGGCGGACACAAACUGAUGUCGCGGAAAAAGAGAAAAUCGAUUCGAUACUUGUCACUCGUGGAAAAUAAUAUAUAUAAAUAUUAUUACAUAUGAGAGAUGGUUUUUGAUUUGAGCUACUUUGAUUGCUUUUGCGUCUCUGCGAUUAUAUUCUGAUAUAUAUAUAUAUAUAAGGGACUAAGAGUAUGAAUAUUGUUUCUCUUGAAAGAACAAUUUUGAAAGAUUUUUAAGAUGUUACAUAACAAAGAGGAAGUAUAUAUAUUGAAAUUCAGAAGAAAAAACUUUGCUCUAUAUCCUUAUUAUUCUAUAGGUUUGCACAAAACUUUCACAGAAUGAAAAUAAAUGGCGCACGUGGGAAACAGAGAAUGUAAAAUGCAUCCUAUGCAAUUUAUGCAAGACCCAGAGAAGUAAUUAGGUGAUUGUAGGACUGCCAUUAUUUACAAGCAUUAUUCACCACGAAAUGGACGUUGAAACUGUAAUUUUCGCGACGAAGGCGUGUUCCGCGCCUCGAUUCCAUUCUCCGCGUGAAAAAACCCUUCUACAAGCUCUAUAUUUAUCAACACGUCGGAUACUUUCGACGUUGGAGUCCAAACGGACCCUCGACAUUCUUAAGAACUGGAGGAUGAUGCCUGUAGUUUCGAAAGAGACACGUGGAGAUUAAAAAUUAAUUAAUAUUCAGGAAGUAUACCAAGGAGUGGGAAUGUCGCAUAGUGAGAAAAUUGUGCUAGGGAAAUCAACUAUUAUAUCUCAAGGGAUUGAAAUCAUCUUCGACGCAAACUAUAAUCGCCAUAAUUUGCAUGCAAUAAUAAAACGUUCAUACUAAUUACACAUCACGUAUAAUAAAAAAUCUGGAAUAGAAAACAUCAAGUUCAUCGAACUUGCAGAAGCUAACCUUCUCUUUUUUUCCAAAGAGUAAGAAUUGUUCGCCUUUAGAAUUACGAUUUUUCAUCGGUAUCGAUACGAUGCACGAUCUAUAAUUAAUUUGCAAACAAUUGCAUGAAUUUUCACCGUGUUAAAAGCACUUUCUCCCUUUCUCAAGCUUAUCGCGACAUUUUUAUUUUUUUUUUACAAAUAUAUUCAUUUUACGAAAUUCAGCAUCAUUUUUCGAUCUUUUCGCGAAAGUACCAACAAUACCAACGCUUAUUAUUAAAUCAAAUCCCUAUCCCUUGAAUGCACGUUUCAACGUACACAAAUAUCAAUUAAUCGAUCGAAUCGAAAGAGAGAAUUGUUUUCCAAGCGUCCGAUCGAGCGUAACAAUGAACAGUAUAUUAAAAUCGUAUGCACGCAGCUAAUUUCUCAUUCUACCGGCUCAUUAUGUCCGCCAAUGCGAGACCAGUAUGAAUGAAACAUAAGGCCCGAUGUUUAUCAUCCUCCGACCAACUUCAACCCCGCUAGCUAUGAAUAUUCAUCGCUUCGAGCUUUGACCAUGAUAAUAAUAAUAAUAAUAAUAAUAAUAAAAUCUCGAUGAAAUAAGGAACGAGGCGAAAAAUAAGUUCAUCAAAAGAAACGAUGAUCCCCCUGGAGGGGGAUUCGCCCACCAUCUAUCCUUAUAAAUUACAUUAUUGAACGAUUAACGUAAUUCCGUCAUCCGUCCUCUCCAAUGCAGAAACAAUUUGCAUAAUAUCCUUGAAGAGGCGUCUCGCGAUCAAUGGCGUCUGGAGAAACCGGUAACGGAGGAGAGGUUGAGGAGACGCGUGGAGGAGACAGGCGUCGCCAUCGGGAGAGCGCGAUAAAUACUGAGGAUGGUACCAGUGCGGGAGACUUCUAAGCCUUGUCCUGCACCGUUUCUGUCUCGCAUAAGGUUCACGUGGUACAGGAAUACCACCGCGGAGUCACCGGGGUGCGGUCUCGUUUCGCCGCGCCACUUUUCUGUCUCCGCUCAGAGCUACGAGAGAACCGGUCCCUCAACGAAUCGUGUUGUGGAUCGACGAGAGUCUUUCUUUCUUUCUUUCUUCUCCCUUCGAUCACUUCUCGAUUC